rnacentral:piRNA from 1 species
AACAAAGGAACCUGCCAAUCAUGGCUC